rnacentral:pre_miRNA from 1 species
AAGCUACAGACUGGAUAAUCUCUGCAGGCAACUGUGAAGACCUGCCUCUAUCUCACAAUAGCCUCCAGAGGUUCUGUAGUCUGUGGCA